rnacentral:lncRNA from 1 species
CUCAGUAAUCUAUAACCAAACCAUCUAGUGACUCAUACCAAUUUGAUAGUUGCCUUAAAAUAAAAAUUUAUAAAGUUUUGAUGUUCCCUAGGUAAGUUUCUAUAGUUGAAUAUUUGUUUGUUUGUAUGGUUUUUGAGAUGUAGUCUCCCUCUGUUGCCCAGGCUGGAAUGCAAUGGUGCAAUCUCUGCUCACUGCAACCUUCGCGUCCUGGGUUAAAGUAAUUCUCCUGCCUCAGCCUCCUGAGUAGCUGGGAUUAUAGGUACCCACCAGCAUGCCUGGCUAAUUUUUGUAUUUUUUAGUAGAGACAAGGUUUCUCCAUGUUGACCAGGUCGGUCUUGAACUCCUGACUUCAGGUGAUCCACCUGUCUCAGCCUCCCAAAGUGCUGGGAUUACAGGCAGGAGCCACUGCUACUGGCCUACAGUUGAGUUUUUAUCAUACAAAUAGAAUAUUACCUACCAGUGAUGUUAAAUUCUAAAACACAUCUUUGCUGACUCUUCAACACUGUGACUUCUCUUAGCUUCCAACUACCUGAGUAGACAGAAUUAAUUCAAGUUAAUUUUAAAUAAAAAGUAUAUUGAACAUGGGCAAUUUUUCUUCUAGAAAAAAAAGUUGAGCUUAUGAGAAUUUAGUCUUGGAAGGAAUUUACUGGUAUUGAUUCAUUAAUCCUUGUCAGAGGAGCCUAGGCUCACCUCUCCUUUGUAGCUAAUGGAAGAGAUGAACAGUACAGUGAAGGGCUAAGGAGAAUUAAGUGGCUUUGACAGGACAUAAGAAAAUCAAUCUUUCUGAAUUUAUAAUUUCUAAUUCCCAUAUUGUCUUAGUCUGUUUUGUGCUGCUAUAACAGAACAACACCGGGGAAUUUAUAAAGAACAGCUGUUUAUUUGGUUCACAGUUCUGAUGUUCGUGAUCCAGGGUCUCCAUCUGGUGAGGGCCUUCUUGCUGCAUCAUCCCACGGCAGAAAGCGGAAGGGAAACGUCUUUGACCUCUGUUACACAGCGGCUGACCCUGUGGCACAGGAAAGCCAGUGAAUUGAUCAGAGUCACUUUAAAAUUUUGCUUUUAGACAAGCUUUGCCCAAACACAUCCAUUCCUUCAAGAGAGGGCUACCUGGAGCGCUGAUAUUAAGAAAAGAUCAUUUCUCUACAUGGGCAGACGAAUGGGGAGAGCUGACCAAUUACCUCGAAAAUACAACCGAUGCCAGCAGGCAAUAAGAAUAAUUAAAACCAAUAAACUAUUUCCUCUCAACUGCCGAGUUUAGUGUAGGGUUUUCUUUUUCUGUCUUUUUGUUUUGCUUUCCAUUGGUUGUGCUUUCCAAAUAAUUGUUCCAUCUGUCCACUUCACUUUGCCUGAGUAAUCACAGCCAGAGGGCAC